rnacentral:rRNA from 1 species
AUGGCUUCGAACACGAGCUUGCUGGCCGUGAUCAUGGCGUGCACGCUCCUACUCACCGGGCACACGUGCCACGGCGCACGCCACUUGGCCGACACGACUCCGGCGGCUGCCCCUGCCGCUGCUGUACCUAGCAUGCCUGCCGUGCCGACCCUGCCUGCCGUGCCCACUGAAACGGUCACCCUGCUGCCACCAAUGCCGGCGGUCACCCUGCCCACCGUGCCGCAAGUGACACUGCCGCCUAUGCCGGCUGUGCCUGUUCCCACGGUGCCAGCUGUGACCGUGCCACCUAUGUCAACCAUGCCCACCGUGCCGCAGAUGCCUUCCAUUGUCGUGCCAAAGUUGACCAUGCCGCCGAUGCCCGCAAUUGUUGUGCCGAAGAUCGUGCCCAAGGUGACUCUGCCGCCGAUGCCGUUUGUCCCGAACGUGAACGUGCCUGUGCCAUUCCUGGCGCCGCCACCGUCUGUGUAG